GCCUCCCAUCCAGUAUGAUGGAUAUGACACUCGGCUUAUAAUCGAGUGGAUUCGGGUUCGAAUCACGAAUAAGGCUUGGAGGUA